UUUUUGUUUUAUUUAGUUUUUCACAUAAUGUUAUAUUAUAUAUCCAUGUGGACUUGAUGAUUUGGAAAAGAAAUUCUACGUGUCGUAUUUUCAUUCACUAGUUUAGUAAUUCACUAACAGUGUUAAUACUAGGUACCAUAAUAAAACACAUAUUGAUAGUCCAAAUACCACAAUGGAAAUUUUCAAAGUACAAGUACCACAUUGAACAUUUUCAAAGUAUAAAUAUCACAUUGAACAUUUUAUAAAAAUACAAGUACCAAAUGUGAUAUUAUCCCUUUUUAUUUUAACAAGAUUUGGAAUCUAAAGAAAAUGCUGUGUAAACUUAAUUGUGAACUAUCCUACUAAGUCGAUAAAUUUCAAUUUUAAAUAUUUAAGGGUAAACUAUACUAGUAGUUACCCAACUAUCAACAAGUUUUUUAUCACUCAGCUAAGAAAAAUUACAAAAAUGAUCACCUAAUCAUUCGGUUUUUUUCUUUUUUUGUCACCACGGUUAAAUGGUUAACAAAAGAUGAUGUGACAACUAUUAAAAUUAGCAUAAUAAUAAAUUUAGCCACCAACGUUUUCACAUUGUAUCAAUUUAGUCUUAAUUUUUUUUUUAAAUUUAACUCUCAAUGUUUACACUUUACCUAAUUUUAUCCUAUUUUUUACAUGAAAGUAUAAUUUAAUACAGCAAAAUGAUUUUUAAAAAUUUUUAGUUUAUUAUUAAAGUAGACAAUCCUCAGAGCUAUUAUUUUCCUUAUAUUUCAAACCACUGAAAACUUAAUAUCCCUCAAUGAUAAUUAAUUCAUUUUUUGUUAGCUUGAGUUUACUGUCAUUGAUGAAGCAAAUCAAAGCUCAAAAAAUUAAUAUUUUUUUAAGGUUAUUUGACUUACAAUUGGAUUAAAUUAACGAAGCAAGUAUUUUUUAUUUUCAAGCAAUUAAAUUGACUAAUUUUCAAAUUUUGGGUCAUUUUGUUUCUUGUUGUUGUUCAUUUUUUUCAUUGAAUUAAACGUAAAGAUAAUAUCAACAAGGGCCACAAAGAAAAGUAAAACUGAAAAAAGAUCAAAUAAUGCAAUGUGCAAACGUUGAUGGUUUUCAUUUUUUAGAAUCAAUACUAAAUUGGCACAAUGUAUAAAUGUUGAGGGUUAAAGUUGUUAUUAUGACAAUUUUAAAAACUACCAUGUCAACUUCCCAGCACUUAUUUAAUGACAAGUGACCAAAAAAGAAAAAAUCGAAUAGUUGAGUGGCCAUUUUAUAAUUGGGUGACAAAACAAAACUUACUAAUAUUUGAGUGACUAUCAAUAUAGUUUACCCAAUAUUUAAUAUAAUUGAAUCCUAAACAUGAUUGCUUCCUUAAAACUUAAAAGAGUAAAAUUUUCUUAUCAUGUAUAUUAAAUGCUUAUUUAAAGUUGUAAAAAAUAUGUUGAUCGAGUCUUAGUUUGGUUGGCGUCGACAUUGUUGCUAGUGCAGAAGAUCGUUGAUUUGAGUGCGUUGAAGCGCAUUAUUCUCAUAUUUAAGGAUUGAGAGGUGCUAUAAGCAGUUCUAGGCAUUGUAUUAAAAAGAGCAGAUAUGAUAAGAACCUAUAAUGAUAUUAAAGUUUAAAAAAAUUGUAAAAGUUAUAUAUAGUAUUCUAUUAUAUAUUCAUUUACUUUAAUCUUAUUCGUUCAAAAAAAAAUUAAAACAAAUUUUAUUAAAAAUCACAAAAUUUAUAAAUUAAUGAAUUAAUUGUAGAUAAACUUAUUACAUUUUAGUUAAAUUAAUUAAUUUUAUUUAUAUAUUAAUUAAUUUUAAAUAAAUUAAAAUUACAUACUUAAAUACAAAAAAAUUAAUUAAUAAAAGUUUCACAUUUAGUUUUUUAAAUUAUAAAAUAUACUAAUAUCACGUGACUUCAUUUUAAAAUAGUUAUUGAUUUAGGCUUAAUGAUAAAAAGGUUUCUCCAGUCCCUUAAUUUUGAAAAUGAGCAAUUAAGGAUAAUUAAUCACGGUGUUAAUAUCUUUAGUCAAUUGUGCAUAAUUUUGAUUGGUAUAAAAACAAAUUUAGUCCUUGAUGUUUACAUAUUUUGUUACUUCGGUAUUGAUUCUAAAAAAAUCAACAAAUUUAGCCUCAACAUUUACACACUUACAAAAAUAUUGCGGGCUAAAUUUGUUAAAUCAUGACCAAAUUGAUAGAAUGUGUACAUUAUGAGAGCUAAAUUUGUUAUUAUACCAGUUGAAAUCAUGUAAAAUUGACUAAAAUCAUUAACUCUAUGAUUAAUUGUCCUUAGUUGUUCGCUUUCGAAAUUGACAAGGGUUAAAUUGCUCCUUUUUUUAGAGAGACCAAUUUGCUCGAUAUUGAAAUGAGAGGGAUUUUUUUACCUAAGUUUAGCAUAUUUUUUAUAAUCAAAUUAUGUAAUUAUUUAGUAAUUGCUAGUACAAUUAAAAUAGUUUACCUAUUGCAUAUAAAUUAAUUCCAAAGCCCAAAACUUAUUACCCCUUUACUCAUUACUCACAAGUAUAUAAAAUAGUUGUCGACUAAUAAAUUACAAUGAAAUAAUUGUGUUGAUAGAAACAUUUCGGGUAUUAAACUUACAAAGAAAUUGGACUAACUACAAUUAAUAAUUAAAUAGCACAACUUAAAUAAUCAAAUAAGCUAAUUACUAUUCUAAAAUUAUACAAGAGUACUAGUACAAUUAUAAAGAAGAUUUUUUAUUAAAUUAAAUUAAAUUAAUCUAACAAAAUAAAGAAAGCAAAGUAAAUUAUUUAUAGAGUAGAUUGUGUUGAUAUGCUCAAAGAUAGAAACGGUGAAGUAAUAUUCAAUUAAUAAGAAUUAUUAAUCUAUUUUAAUUAUUAAUGGAUUUAGGGUUUAUAAUUAAGAUGAUCAUCAAGAUGUAGAUACUUGAGUUGUGUAGAGCUUACAGGUGUCUAGAGAAUUCCUAAGUUGGUGUAUGGCUUUAGGAAUUAACUAAACCAUUGAUCAUCACUAUCAUCAAUUCCCCACUAUCACAGUUGGUGUGUAUCUUAUAGGUAGCCUUACGAUUGGUGUGUAUCUUAGUGAGUUGGGUAACUAUCCAAUUAGAUCGCUAAGGUUAAACAAAUAUCUCAUCGCACACUCUCUCAAUUUAUUUCUUAAUUAUGAAGAUCAAAUGGAUAGCUAAUCUAGCCACAAUACUUAUCUUUAACAUAAUUCAAUUAUUAAUCCAUUAACCUACGAUUCAUUCACCACCACUUAGACAAUUAGUUCAUAUAGGGAAUCAAAUUAACCAUAAUCAAAAAUAAUAUAAACAUAAAUAACGUGUAACACCCAGACCCCAAUAAACCCGAAAUUAAGAAUGAAUAACAAAUUGAAUUGAAAGAAACCGCAAGCUGAUAACCUAUAUUGGAAGAAAUGGGAAAGCUAGAAACCGAAUUGGACAUGGUUAAGAUUCAAUUCUGGUUCGGUUAGGAUGAAACCGCUCUGUUCCUUAGUGGGAGACAUAAUAAUUAGCAAUGGACAGUGCUCAUGAGGUCGAUAAUAGAGCGGGAAAGGCUAUAAAUAGCUGGGAUAUAGCUCCCAAAGUUGAUUUUCUUUGCGGUUUUGUUUCAGUUUCUCCUAUUAUUCAUCUUCUUUGGUAGCUCGAAGAAGGUGUAGCCAUGGAAGGCUUUGUAUAGAGCAUGCUUCGUAAGGAUGGAGCUGAAAAAAUAAGGGAACUAGCAAGUGUAUAACAUUCCAAUUCUGGAGGAUAUAAAGUUUUAGGCGUAUAGCAGUAAGUAGUUUGUCUGUCGUGGUGUUAAUUAACCGCCACUUGAGUUAGUAAGAAUUUGAUUUCAUGAUAUUCUACUAUAUUAAGGAGACGUUCGUGUUAAGUGGUAAAACUCUAGAAUAACGUAUUUUUAUGUAUUAAUUAUGUAUUUAUUCUGAGUAUGAUCCUGCUAAUUUGAGCUAUUUAUGAUCUUUUAUCUCAUAGGGACUAAAUCUGAGGCAAAAGUAAAAUUAAGGGUCAAAAGUGUGAAUUUGGAGAUAAAAUGGGCCAAUGUGCGACACAAAAAAAAGUUGGUGCCAAAAGUGCAAGCAUGGAGGACACAAGGGUUGAAAUAUAAAAAGAAGAGAUUUUAUUCUAUCAAACUCUAAUUUAAUUAUAUUACGAUAAUUAAUAUUAAGAUAAUUAUUAAGGAUUAUCUAAUUUUAGGAUUUUAUUUUAUUUAUCUUUAUUUAUCUUCAAUUAAAUGAAUUUAUCUUUUGGGAAUUUAAGUAGGAUUAGACUAUCUCCCCUAGCACUAUAAAUAGGGGAUGAAGUGACUCAAAAGAGAUCCUAUCUUUUUCUGUAAACACUCUCUCCUCAAAAGUCUAGACUUUUGUUCUUCUCAUAUUUUCUUUCAAUAAAAUCUCCAUUUUUAUUUUAUUUAUUUUCUUUUUCACCACAACCAUGAGCCACUAAACCCAUCUAGCCAAAGGUUGUCGAAAAUCCCCAAAAGGGUUCAUGAGGCUUAGAAUCUGUACUUAGCCUUCUCAAUGAGUAUUCAUCGUUUCUCCACACUACGGGGCUGAUGCUUCCAUCCAUGUCCCUUAAGAAGUAAGCUUUUCAACGUAUGCAAAGGCGGCCACUUUGUAUGUUUUGGGAAGGUUGCACAGUUAGUUCGUUAGCUUACUGCAUCAGAGGUUGGCCAGCCCAAGAGACAAAAUGGCGUGGGAUUCGCCAUUGAGAAGCGUUGAUCUAGUAUAAGACGAUCCCACAGAAGCGAUUGUUAGCUAGAGUCAGGUUUCACCAAAUCGUAAGUCUAAAUCCUUGGAGCUGGUGGUCGUAGGCGCCCUCUUCCACUAUAACUGGCUUAUUCGGUUUGGGAAGGAUCAUCUAAAAGCCGAGAAUUGAACUCAAGGCGGAACGAGACAACUGGAGGCUGGAAUCUCCUAUAAGAAUUUUCUUUCUCUCAACUCUAUUUUUAAUUACUCGAAUUUUUUAUUCAAUAUUCUUAAUUUUGUUUUUUUAUUUUAUUUUUCAUUUCCAAGAUCCAAACAUUUAAUUCUAUUAUUUUUUGAUUUUUUAUUUUUUUUGCAAGAACGCAAGUUUUCUUGGGCAAGAUUCUGCCUAGGAUUUCACGGAACAAGAUAUUGUGCAAAUCCAGUCCCUGAGGAUUUGACCCUACUUCCCUUUUACUAUUCUUUUUCAUUAUUUAUUAGGGAUAAGAUAUUUUUGGUGCUUUCAAUGACCGCAUCAAAUUUUGGCGCCGUUGCCAGGGAUUGGCAACAUACGAAUCUUGUUUUUUGUUUCUUAUGACCAGAUCUGCUCCAGGUACUCUUGCGUUCGAUUCAUAAAUUGAGAAGACUGCUAGAGCCAAUCAUAAGGAAACAAAGUUACGGAAAAAACAGUCAGCGGUGGUUGAAACUCAAAGUAACCCACCGCUAGAAAUCGAAGCCGACGACAAAGCUGAGUCUAGGGUUAACGAAAACCCUACUCGAACACUUGAAAGCGAAAAAGUAGAAGUCGACUCACCAGAAGAAGUGUUUAACACUAGGGUUAACGAAAACCCAAAUCUAGCACACCAACAAAUAGCUCAAACGAUUCGGUAACUGGCCGAAGCUCCAACAGAACAACCGCCAUUGUGCAUCGCGUAUCCUACUAUGGAUAUUGAUUUUGAUUUAAAGUCAGGUUUAAUCCAGUUACUGCUAAAUUUUCAUGAGUUGCAAAAUGAAAAUCCCCACAAGCAUCUGAAAGAGUUUUAUAUGGUUUGUCUUAACAUGAAACUUCAAGGGGUAACUGAAGAUCAGAUUAAAUUGCGUGCUUUCCCUUUCUCCCUAGCAGAUUUCGCUAAGGAAUGGUUAUUUUAUUUACCCCCUGGAUCUAUUACAACUUGGGCUGAUCUAUCUCAUUUUUUUCUAAACAGGUUUUUUCCAGCGUCUCGAGCAGCAGAACUAAGAAGAGAGAUCGUUGGAAUAAGGCAAAAAGAAGCUGAGUCCCUUUACGAUUAUUAAGAACUGUUUAAGAAAUUGUGUGUAAGCUGCCCACAACAUGGUAUAACGGAGCAAUAUCUCCUCUAAUAUUUUUACGAAGGUUUAAAGCCCAUGGAAAUGAAUAUGGUAGAUGCCGCUAGUGGAGGAGCAUUGGUCAACAUGACUCCCCAACAAGUGAGAGACUUGAUCUCCACGAUGGCUACAAAUUCUCAAUAGUUUCGAGCCAAUACUGAACCCCCUAGAAGGGUUCACCAGUUAAGUAAUUCAACCUUAGAGGACAAAGUUAAUAGACUUACUAAUAUGAUGAACUCUCUUAUUGCAGAAAAAGCGAAGAUAGCCCGGUUAUGCGAAAUAUGUGCUACACCUGAUUAUGCAAUUGAUGUAUGUCCCAGUUUGUGUGAUAAUACCAUGGCCCAUCUGGAUGCUGUGAGAAAUUUCUCUGGGCUGCCACAAAGGCAGUACGACCCCUACACUAAUACCUACAACCAGGGUAGAGGGACCAUCCUAACUUAAGUUAUGGGGCCAAUCCACGAAAUAACCAGCCAUACCAAAAUCGGUUUCCGCAAUAGCCGCAAGGUUCAGGUAAUUUUCUAGAAACCAUGGUCAAUAAGUUAUCAACUAAUGUUCUUGAUUUUCAACAGCAAACUUUUAAUUUCCAAAAAGAGAUGAAGGAUUUCCAACAGAAAAUCGAGGCGUCCAUUAGAGAGUUGACCAUAUCGAUAGAAAAAUUGACCUAUCAAGGGAAGCUGUCAUCACAAACAGAACCAAACUCUAGACAAAAUGCAAAUGCAGUAACAUUGUAAAGCGGAAAGGUACUAGAAUCAAUUCCUGACAAGAAUCUUGGCCAAGAAAUCACCCAAGAAAAACUUGAAAAAGACGAACAGGUUCGACUGAAGCCUCCAUUGCCUAAUAUUCAACCUCUAUUUCUAGAACAAUUCAACCAGUGUCGAAGAGGUAAAGAGGACAAGAAAAUCCUCGAAACAUUUAGGAAUGUCGAGAUCAACAUUUUGCUGUUGGACGCCAUCAAGAAAAUAUCGCGGUAUGCUAAAUUUCUUAAAGAGAUUUGCACCAACAAGCGAAAAUUAAUAGGUAAUGAAAGGGUGAAUGUUAGUGAGAAUGUAUCCGUAGUGUUACAGCGGAAAAUGCCGACAAAAUACAAGGAUAGGGGCAUGUUUGUAAUAUCAUACAAAAUAGGUCAUCUGGGAAUUAAGAAGGCUAUGUGUGAUCUAGGGGCUUCUAUAAAUGUAAUGCCAUAUUCUAUUUAUGAAUCACUCAACGCGGGUUUUUUAACAAAAAUAGGUGUUAUCAUUCAAUUGGCGGAUAGGUCUGUUGUGCAUCUAGAAGGAGUCCUUGAGGAUGUUCUGGUAAAAGUUAAUGAGCUUAUUUUCCCUGCAGAUUUUUAUGUGAUCAAAAUGGAGGAGGAUAGCAUUCUUGGAUCUUUAGAUCUCCUGCUGGGUCGACCAUUCCUUAGUACAACUAGUACUAAAAUCGACGUUCGAAGUGGAACUCUCACGAUGGAGUUUGAUGGGGAGAUCGUAAAGUUUAAUAUCUACGAUGCCAUUAGCCAUCCAAGCGAAAUCUUGAGCGUAAAUUGUAUCGAUGUAAUUGACUCUUUGGUGGAAGAGAAUUUUGAGUCAAUUUAUGGAGAUAAUUAUGAACUUGAUGAAUUUGAAUUUGUUAAUGAGUUAUUAUCUCCAAAUACUAAACUGUUACCUUCUGUUAUACAGGAACCAGAGUUGGAGUUAGAACCCGCAAGAAAGACAGGGAAAUUAGACAUAUAAGAGUUAGAAGAAAUUCACAAUGAUACCUACGAGAAUGCUCGUAUUUAUAAAGACAAGACAAAAUUGUUUCACGAUAAGAGAAUAACUCAGAAGCAUUUUUCGGUAGGACAAAAGGUUUUACUUUAUAACUCCCAGUUAAAUUUAUUCCCAGGUAAGCUUCGAUCACGAUGGCAAGGACCUUUUAUUGUUACUGAAGUGUUCACACAUGGAGCGAUUGAAAUAGAGAGUGAAUGAAGAAUCUGGAAAGUGGUUCAUAGUCAAUGACCAGCGGUUGAAGCCAUUUUAUGAGAAUUUUCAAACUCACACGGUUGAGAAAAUCCAUUUGGAACCACCAUAGAACCAAUAACGGUGUCGAGCUAACGACAUCAAGCGCUUGUUGAGAAGUAACUCAAUUUUUAUUCUUAUUUUUUUAUUUAUUAUUUUUUCUUUACUUUAUUUAUUAUUUUAUUUUAUUAUUUAUUACUUAUUACUUAUUUGUAUAUUAAUAAAUUUCUCUUCUUUUGCUUAGAUAAAACAGAGCGAAAAUGUGAAGAAACCCGUUGAGCAACGCUUAAAGCGCAUUGAGGCCCGACUUGAAACCUUUGGCCAGCAACUGGCCGAGCUCAUUGCCAUCAUAUGUGAUCGAUAGUAACAACACAAUGAGUUUUCUUAACUUUUCUACCUAUUUGUUUCUUUUCGUCCACAUUGAGGACAAUGUGCUUUAAGUAGGGAGAGGUACUCUUCGUUAUUACUAUCAUUUUUUGCUGUAAUUUUGGUUGUUGCAGUGAUUAUUUUUGGCUGGUGUUGCUGCUUGAGGCUCCAUUUUGUCCAUAUUUAUUUUUUUAAAAACCUCCUGCCUCUUUUCAUGCCCAAGAUUUUUACCAAGAAUUGCCUAUUGUUUGACCUACAAGCAUGAUUCUUGUUUUCUGAGGAAAUUAUAGAUUUUCAUAAUUGAUGCCAUCUCCGCUAUUUUAUUCUUAUUAGGCUAAAAAUAAUUAUGAUUCAUAGAGUUAACUUUAUCUUGCUUUUCGUAAAAUUGAUCAAGUUUAAUACAAAGUGGACACUUAAUAUGUUUGUCUGCUAAAAUAUGUUCAUGAUUAAUAAGGUAAUUACUGAAACUUAUUUUUGACACUUGAUUAUUUUUUUCUCUAAAGUCCUCAAAAAAAGUUAUUAUUAAAAUGUCGUUUAAUGUUUCUGUGGUUAUGAGUGCAGCUUAAAAACGUGACUGACUGAGUAACCGAAGUAGGGUGCUUGGGUUGUCAUCCUAUUUUGCGUCAAAAGGUUGUGUGACGUGUUAGGUAAAACUCUGCUAACCGGAAUUAAUUUUUAAGAACAUGUUGGGCUGAGUAACCGGGGUGAGGUCAUUGGCUGUCAUCUCUCUUCGAGUCAAAAGGUUUGAUGUGUUCUUAAGAAAAAAAUUAUAAUAAAUUAGGAGUCUACUGGGCUGAGUAACCGGGGUGGGGUGCUUGGCUGUCAUCUCUCUUCGCGUCAAAAGGUUCAGUAUAUUCAAAAAGCAUAAUAAUAAUAAAAGAAAAAAAAUAUAAUUUGGAGACUAAAGGAGGAAACAAAUAGGGUGUCUUGGUAGGUUUGGUAAUCUACCUAAUUUUCAUUAAGUAAUUCAAGUCGAUUCUAAUUUUUGUGUGUAUUAAUUGGAAAACUUUUUCUGUUUUACUUAAAGCAAGCUUAGGGUUCUCUUUAUUUUUUAUAUGCAUUUUUUACUGAUUUUUAUAAAACUUUGGAGUGGUAUUUCUUUUAUGGCAGAAUCUAACUUUCACAGUAGAUAGGAACCAUACUUGAGGGGAAGCAUGGGCUAAGUAGGGGGAAUUUGAUAACACUCUAGAAUAACGUAUUUUUAUGUAUUAAUUAUGUAUUUAUUCUGAGUAUGAUCCUACUAAUUUGAGCUAUUUAUGAUCUUUUAUCUCAUAGGGAUUAAAUUAAAUUUGAGGCAAAAGCAAAAUUAAGGAUAAUUAAUAUUAGGAUAAUUAAUAUUAAGAUAAUUAUUAAGGAUUAUCUAAUUUUAGGAUUUUAUUUUAUUUAUCUUUAUUUAUCUUCAAUUAAAUGUAUUUAUCUUUUGGGAAUUUAAGUAGAUUUAGACUAUCUCCCCUAGCACUAUAAAUAGGGGGUGAAGUGACUCAAAAGUGAUCUCAUCUUUUUCUGUAAACACUCUCUCCCUAAAAGUCUAGGCUUUUGUUCUUCUCAUAUUUUCUUUCAAUAAAAUCUCCAUUUUUAUUUUAUUUAUUUUCUUUUUCACCACAACCAUGAGCCACUAAACCCAUCUAGCCAAAAGUUAUCGAAAAUCCCCAAAAGGGUUCAUGAGGCUUAGAAUUCGUACUUAGCCUUCUCAACGAGUAUUCAUCGUUUCUCCGCACUACGAGGCUGACGCUUCCGUCCAUGUCCCUUAAGAAGUAAGCUUUUUAACAUAUGCAAAUGCGGCCGCUUUGUAUGUGUUGGGAAGGUUGCACAGUCAGUUUGUUAGCUUACUGCAUCAGAGGUUGGCGAGCCCAAGAGACAAAAUGGCGUGGGAUUUGCCAUUGAGAAGCGUUGAUCUAGCAUAAGACGAUCCCACAGAAGCGAUUGUUGGCUAGAGUCAGGUUCCACCAAAUCGUAAGUCUAAAUCCUUGGAGAUGGUGGUCGUAGGCAUCCUCUUCCACUAUAACUGGCUUAUUCGGUUUGGGAAGGAUCAUCUAAAAGCUGAAGAUUGAACCCAAGGCAGAAUGAGACAACUGGAGGCUGGAAUCUCCCAUAAGAAUUUUCUUUCUCUCAACUCUAUUUUUAAUUACUUGAAUUUUUUAUUCAAUAUUCUUAAUUCUGUUUUUAUUUUAUUUUUCGUUUCCAAGAUCCAAACCUUUAAUUCUAUUUUUUAUUUUUUUAUUUUUUUUCCGAAACGUAAGUUUUCUUGGGCAAAAUUCUGCCUGAGAUUUCACGGAUCAAGACAUUAUGCAAAUCCAGUCCCUGAGGAUUUGACCCUACUUCCCUUUUACUAUUCUUUUUCAUUAUUUAUUAGGGAUAGGAUAUUUUUGGUGCUUUCAACGACCGCAUCAUUAAGGGAUAAAAGGGAAAUAUGGGAUGAGUAUUCGCCAAAGGUAUAGUACGUUUGGUUUGUAUGGAAUACUAUGCUAGUUAGACUUUAAGUAAUCUGGUUAUAAACCAACUAUAUAGUUUAGCCUGAUAAGUCUAGUGAAGGGAACUUAUUUAUAUUAUUCCUCAAAAACUGUAGGCCAAUAAAAAGGCAAGUUCUGAUACGUAUGAAACUUGUUAUAUUCCACUAAGCAAGAUGAGUCAUAUUUAUAUGUGAAAGUGUGUUCUGAAAGGGGUUUUUCUUCCUCUUCGUUAAGUGGAAAUUAUUGAUACCUUCCUUAAGUUUAGAUGUAUCUCUUUAUUGAUAAUCUAGAAGCUAAGAUUACGUUAUGAUCAGUGGCUACUCCAUUGAUAUGUAGGUAUUACUAUUCUGCAUGUUAAAUUCUGAAGGAGUAACUUUGUAAGAGGUGCAUGAACGGUAAGAUGUAAGUAUAAGGCUUUGCAUGGGAGUUGUCAGUGCUUGAAUUGACUGUAAAUUGUAUACGAAUGAGUCUUAAUAAUGUUCUUAUGUUCUGAAAGUAGUGAUUAUAACUUGUUCGAGAUUGAUAUCUGAAUUUAGAGUUUUGCACUACCAUUAGUGAGAAUCAUAUUAGUUUUAUGCUGACUCCUGUAUGUAUAUUGCUUUUAUCAAGAGAUACCUAUAGGAAAUUGAUUGAAUUAUGAUUUUGAAACUAUGAAAAGUAUAGUGUGUAUAUGGGUAGUGAAUCUGAUAAUUUCAUGUAUGUGAUGAUUGGUGUAUGAAUACUGAAAUGUUAAAGUAUGGUUGUGUAUAUAUAUGUCUAGAAUGUAUACAAUGAUAUGUAUGUUUUGUUGGGUGUAUGUUAGUGCAUUAAAAUGUUGGGCUUAGAGUGUGUCAAUGCAUGAAGAGUCUGUAAAGUGAGUCUGUGUCUAGUCACCGCGGUGGUAUCUGAUGAAAUUCGUCAUGACAAAAAACAUGAAUUCUAAUAUGAAACUCUGAAAGAAAGUCUAUGGCCAAGGCACUCUCUGAAAAAAGAACUAAGGAAUGGUGAUUACCCAAUGAGGUUCUUUGCAUGUCCUAGGACGAUAACAGGCAAACCUCACGUAUUGUGAGUUUAGGCAAAUUCAUAUCGUAAACACGAUAACUAAGAAUAGCCUUUGUGGCGAACUUUGAAAGAAAUGUCUUUGUGGCGAAUUUUGAAUGGAACGCCUUGGUGCUGUACUCUAUAUGAUUGCCUGUGUGGCAUGUUCUGUUAGGCCUAUAUUGUGUAAAUUGUCAGGGAUGUCAGGUAAAAUCUGAAUCUGAAUGUCUAUCUCUAUUGUAAGGUAUGAGUAAAUUCUUUUAGUUUUGUCAUAAGUAAAGCUAAGGUGAAAUAUUGAUAUGUUCUGGGUUAUGAGGGACUAAGUCUUAAGGGUUUUUCAUGAAAAAGAAAUGUGUAUCUGUAUGUCAAGAAGGAUAUUCGUUAUUAUGAUCUGUAAAUAUAGAAAGUGGGGUAUUUUAUCUUCUUCUAAAAUUAUUUUGAAUCAAAGUUAAUGUUAUCUUAAAUUAUGGGAUUUUGAUAUAUCAUGUCAUGGAAUUCGUCAAAGUGGUCUAUGCAAUGAUUUAUCAGUAAGGAUAUGUGUGGUACUAAAUCAAGAUAUGACUGAGUAUAAAUUGAUAGUAUUAUAUUCUACAUAAGUAUUCGCCAAGCAUAUAUGAAUAUCCGCCUGUGAUAAAUGUCAGUGAAUAACUGCUUGAAAUAAGAAUAUGGGUUAAGGCAUGGAUUGUUGAAAGUGUUUUCUGAGGGUAUAUUUUGUUAAGAAAGUAUUAUGGGACAAGAGAUUUAUGAAACGAUUGGAAGUAUUGUCCAGUUAAUUAGAUAGGAAAGAUUAAGUAUAAUAAGGGUAUGAUAAUUGACAUAUACAAGAGUGAUAAGACCGCAUGGUAUCAGUCGAAGUAAAUGAUGUAGAGUAGUAGUUUACUCAUAGAAAUUCCUACAUGAUUGCAAAGCAUCCAUCAAGGUAUGGUUCAUGAGCUCACUAAGUACUCUUGUACUUACAAAAUUUCUUAUUUCUUUUCAGGUAAUUGAGAAAAGACUUCGCCUGAAGGGGUAACGUCAAGAGUUCGCCAAGAUGGUGGCGAAGUGGGCUAUUAUGCAUAUUAGUGGAGCUGUGGCAUAGUCUAGGAAUACGCCAUUCGAGUCUGUGAUAAAUAAAUUUCCAUUUUGUAAUGAUAUAAUUCGAGUCUGUUGUAAUUAAAUUUAUUUUAAACACAUCCCCUUUUUUUAUUGUAAUAAGUUUUUGAUUAAAAUGCCACAGUACAUGUUUAAGAAAUAGGUAAUUGUAAAUUGUCAUUAUUAAUAUGUGAGUUUUGUGUGGUAACACCCAAACCCGAACUCAAUGAAUCGGGUUGGUAGAGGGCGUUAAAAGUUUGGUAUUAGACCCCGAUUGAGUAGUUAAAUCAAAAAAAUCGUUAAUUCUACUAUAUGGACUAAAUUAAAAAGGAUAACAAGUUUUUUUUUUGAAAAAAAAAAGAGGAUAGCAAGUUAGUUAAUAAAUGAGAGGGACUUAUGUAGCAAUUUGGCUUGACUUUAAAAUCAACUAAACCAAAAUUAAUUUAGUGGUGGUGGCCAACAUUUAAGUGAACCGUUAGAUUCCACUAAUUGUUUUCAUGAAUGAAUAUUAACCAUUGAUCUUUAAUUAUUAAACUUUUUAAUUAAAUAAAAGUUUUAAUUAUAAGUUAGUGGACGAGAGACACAAUAGUUAGCUUAGUUAAUCUCAUCUCAUCUCUACUAGUUCUCUUAAGGAAAUAAAAGAAAACUUUCUCCUAAAACAUUUUCACCAAUGUUGUAAGCUUCCAAGGCUAGAUUGGUAAGUUUUUUUUUCAAUUCACGGUGAAUUAUUAGAUUUAAGUAGUUGUUACUCAAGACCAAAUUAUUUGUUUAAAGAAUUACUAAUAUUUAGUUAAGUUUUAUUGAUGGAAUUCAUGAUAGAUCAGUAAAAGAACAAAAGAACUUUUGAUGAAAUUGAGUUAUAAUAUUAGUAAGGUAAUGGGUGUUGUAGGAAUAAGCUUGAAUUUAAGCUUAAAGACUUUGAAAUUAUUGUUGAACAUUAGUGACCAAAUUGAAUAAAUUGAAAGCUGUUAGAAAAUAAUGUCAAGGAUUGGAAGUUAGAGGUACCAAGUGAAGAAAUAUAAAAUCGAUUUUUGAUUUGAUAAAGAGAACAAAGAAUUACAAGCAUUUUGAAUAUUAGGGCUUAUAGGGACAAAAAUGAAUAAAAUAUAUUCAUGUCUAUGUUGUUAUGAUCUAUGUUUGAAUUGCAUGAUUGAUGAAUUUUUUGUAUUCGGAUUUAAUUUUUGUAGCUAAAGACGAUGUAGGACCUUUACGGGACAAAAAGAAAUCUAAAUCCGUUAACGAAUAAUCACUUCUGAUUUGUACUCUCAUAUUUCGAGUUCAUUAAAUAAUUGUGCGUGUUUAACUCGUCAAGUGGACGAGGAUAGUAAACUGUUGAUGUAGAUGUAUUUGAAAGGUAUGUAGACACCUUAUUAUGUUAUAUGUGAUCAUUGGUAUAUUGAUUGAAAAUUUCCCUAUUAACACUAUUGAAUAGAGUUACGGGUAUAGUUGACAUGCCAUAAGAUCCGUUUUGAUAGGUGGGAGAUUCAGCAUAUGUGUGUAUAUAUAUUGUGAUAGUUCUCUAAUUCACUUGGGGUUGAGAACAUAACACUAGCUCAAAUUCUCUGAAGGUACGAGUGUAUUCUGAUGUGAUCGGUGGGAUCGGUGUAUUUAUGCCCGACCAGCACUUCGGUGCAUAUAUUGGUGUGAUAGUGGAUUGAUCCGAGUAUCUGUCCUUAAGCCCGAUUUUGUUAAUAGGGAUUAAAAUGUAAAAAUUAUAUGUUGAAUGCUUAUAUUAUUGAAAUGUGAUAAUGAUGUUUAUAUGAUAUAUGACAUUAAUAUGGUAAAAUAGAUGCAAAUACCCUGAGGAUGCAUCGAAACUAUGUGAUUUGAAAACAAGUAAAAUGUUGAUAUAAACAUGAUCGAAUGUUAAAUGGUCAUGAAUCUUUUAAGGGUCUAAUUAUUCUCAGGUGUAUACGUAUUAAUGAUGAUAAUAUUGAAAUAGUUAUUGAUUAUCAUAUUUAAUCUUGUUAUUUAGUAUGUUUAUUUGAUUCUAUUAUGUUUAUAUUUGAAUUUGAAUUAUGUUAGCACCACUAAGUAUGCAUUACUUAGCAUACGGUUUUGUUUGUUUCCGUGCAUAGGUCUUGGACGAGAGUGAUAGUAGAUUAGAAGUCAUAAAGCAUCCAACUCAGCAGCUCUGCUCGGAAAUCAUCUUGUGCCUAUUUUGUAUGUAUAUAUAUGUUUUGGUUAAAUGGCAUGUACUUAGGUUGGUUUGAGCAUGUUGCUUACGUUAAUGUUUUAGUACUUUUGGUAUCAUGACCUACAAUGUUUUGAGUGGUGAGUUUCAUCUUUCGAUUUAAAGAUAAUUAUGCAUGUUUAUAAGUAUUCGAUUGCAUAAUUAAUUUGAUUAUACAUUGAUGAAAUGGAUGUUAGGAUUUGUUAGUGAUUGGAUGUGUUUCUAUAUGUUGGAUUGAUGAUUUUGCAUUGAUGUAACAUUUAGGUAUUUUUUAGGUACAAUUUGGUAUGGCUUAGAUGCUUAAAAAUGGUCAUUUAGGGUCAUUUUACCAUUUAGUCUCGAGACAGUAUGAACAUCUCUCGAAACCAUUAGAACCAUUAGAACAAAAUUUACCAUUUGGUGCUUAAGGUCUUGAAACUUACCAAGCAGAUAUCAAGACAAUUCCACUUAGGUCUCAUGACAGAGUGGCCUUUGUCUCAAGACAAGGGCACAUCGAAGCUAAAAUAAUUUUGUCCUAUUCCAGGUCUGGAGACAAUUUUUGUCUCGAAAGAACCAAACAUCGAAGCUAAAAUAAGAAAACAAGAGAGGUUUCUCUUGAGAUUAGUCUCGAGACUUGAAAGGUUUUAUCUCAAGACAUAGACCUUAUGGUCUCUGACCGCCUCCGGGCGUACUAACGUCCAGAGUGUAAAUACUGCAAUUAAAUAUAUGAAAUUGAGGCAGUGUCCACAAGUAUACAGGUCAGGUUGUAAUAUACUUUACAACGGAAUUGGUAAGUACUCCGAGGAUCGUAUCCAAUAGAGGUGAGUACUAAAUUAAUAUUAAUCUAAACAUAAAUAAAAAAAAUUAUUACUUUAGAUAAAUUAUAUUACGAUAAAACAUAAAGUGGAAAAUAGUUUUGGGUUUUAUACUAAAAUAAAUAAUCAUGCAAAAUAAAGUGAACACAGAAAACUAAGAUGUAAUUCAACCAAAUCUAAGUAUGGGUGAUUAGCUCGCUUCGGUGGUAAUAAUUAAUUCCUAUUUUAGGUCUCUACUCAAUCAACUAGUCGUUACCCUAGAAGAAUCUCUUGAUCUCCUACUAAGCUAACAAGUCGAGAAGAACUACUUAUCUCUUGACCUCUCAGUCCAAACCAGAUAGGGAUAAGGGGUUCACAGAUAAGCAAUAUCAAUUUUGGGUUAAUUCUCACCUAAAUGACUUCUUAGGGUUGUCAGGCCUAGUGUUUAAGUUUUUCCUAUCCCAAAUAGUUGAUCCUCUAAGAAAACCCUACAUAGAACUUAAUUAAUCACACUUCCACUCGCUAAUCCCCUAUAAGAGGAUUAGUUCCUCAUGGAUUUCAUAAACAAUGUAAAGUUGAUAAAAUAAAUAAGCAUUAUGAACGAAUUAAGAAUAAAAGUUUAAGAAGAAAUUAUGAUUGUAUUGAAUAUUUGAAGUGCAGAAUUCUAUAGAGUUUGUGUUGAAUCUACAAAUCAGCUCUUUUGAUUAACACGAAUGAAAACAACUGGAAAUAAAUCGUAAGUCUAAAAAGAACUAAAAACUGAAAACUAAACUAAAAAAAAUUCUAAGUUACAAAAGUGGUCCUUUCUCAAGUGUCUUAUGAGUCUAUUUAUAGUGUUAGGGUUGGUCGUCGUCCUUAGCCCUAGGACAAUUGAUGUUUUUACGUUAAUUUUCAUUGUGCAAACCAAAACGCCCUCAGCUGGUAAUUUCUUCCCAUGUAGGGCUAGUGUCAUGACAUCUAGUACCUGUGUCGCGACAUUGAAUGCAGUUUGCUUGGCUGAAGUUUAGAUUCAGGGGUGUGUCGCGACACCAAAGGCAGUUUUGGAAUUUUGGCACUCUAUUCACUAUGUUGUGACAUUGAACUUUCGUUUAGCAACAUGGCAACCAGCCUCGAGCUCUCAUACCUUUGGAUAGUGUCUUGCACACUCACUAAGUACGCUAAACCCUCCGUCUCGAGACAUGAAGAUUCCUGGCUCGAGACACUAUGUUGAAAUUUGAUAAAAAGAGUUGGACUCGAAUCCCAACCAUGUUAUAACCUCCAUACAUCUUCUGAAUACAUAGCAUGGGAUUAAUGUUCAUGCAUUGAAUUAAUUUGUGUGUAUACACUGAUAAAUUAUUUAAUUGAAUGUCAUGUUGCUUGUCAUUUGUGAUAGAGUCAGAUUGAGUUACUUUGACAACGUAAUGUGAUGUCACACAUUUGGAUUUGACGACCGGGCUGGGUGUGGGGUGUCACACAAUGUGCACGUCUUUGGUUGGGUACUUUGCAUUUCUUUCAUAUUUGCUCGCUUGUUUCGCCUCCAUUUGUGUUCGAUCAUGCAUUUCAAGCUCGAAUUAAUCUCAAUAAAAGUCAUAAACUCAUUUUGAAAGCAUCUAAUGCUAAAAAAAAAAAAAGUAAAAACUAGUAAAAAUGCAUAAAAGUAAAUACAAUCAACUCUCUCAAUAAUAGUAACCCUCUAUAAUAACAUUUUGUUAUAACAACAAUGUUUAUUCUAACCAAAGUUAUUAUAUUUUAUUUUUACAUUAUAUAACAGCUUUCAUAGUAAUAGUCAUAAAGUAUGAAAUACAUUAUUUAUUAAAUUAAUUGUUUAUAAUAGUUUUAUUUUUCUUAAAUUUUAGUAAAAUUAAUUUUAAUCUUAAGUGAAUUAAAAUUAAUAAAUUUUAUAUAAAAUAUUUAUUAAUCUUAUUUUAUUAAAUGAAUAAAUAAUUAAAUUUAUAAAUUUUAUUAAAGUACAGCUUAAGUUUUAUUAAUUUGAAAUUUUAAAAGUUUCAGAUAUGAUGUAAAUGUUAUCAUACGUUUUUACAAGCUUAUAAUAACCACAUCUUUAGAACAUUAAAAAUUUUGACAAAUAAAUGAAAUGUUAUAUAGAAGAUUAGCCGUAUGAUGCAAAAUUAGGUAAAUGUACUAUACUUCACUCCGAAAUCAGAAAUUUACUAAAAUCAAAGUGAAAAGAGUAAUUACAUUUUGGAUUAUUCACUGCAAUGCAUUGUGGUAUUUGCGAAGUUAUUACCAUCUUUACUGGUAUAACUUAAUUGAGUACCAAACACCCACUAGCAUACUGCUGAAAUUUACAGUUCCUAAUGAAAUCUGUCAAUGGUGAAUUAUGGUGAGGCUCAAUAAGCAUCUCAUACUCUUUCCACCAUUGCAUAAAACUGCUACCUUUCAAGAAAAUUUCAGAGGACACUGCAUAUUUCUUGAUUUGUUCCAUAACAUAAACCUCAAAUUCCAUCAGUUUCUGCCUCAAACACACCCUCUCUGAGAUCAUACCAACAUCAGCUGUCUUCAAUGAUUUGCACCAUAGCCGGGCUUCUUCGACAUGAGCCCAAAAGCAAGAAUCAUCUGUUAGAAUAACAUCCACAUUUUGUUUCUUGGUAUCGAUCCGAAAUCUGCUUUGUUUCUCGUCUUCUUCAAGCCAUUGCUGUAACUUGAUAUAAUGAUGUGAUCUGCCAGUAGUCACAUAGUUGCUUCCAUUAUCUCUGUAGUAGUCAGCUAUGUCAAGUGGCUCAACCAUUCUCCGAUAGGUCGUACCAGCAUACAACCACCGUGAUCGGAGGUAAACCAGUUGUUUCUGAGGUUUCCUCUCAUUUUGUGCAACGACUUCUUUCCAGUAGUUUGUGAGGAACUUCUUGUGCUUGAUGACAUCGCGAUCCCGCCGACUGAGUUGCUUCUUGUAACAAUCAUAGUAACCUGUUUCAUUAGCCUUAGCAACCUUCUUAUACCAUUCUAGUUCAGCCAUUUUUAUUUUUAUGACAUUUAAUUUCUUUGCAGGGUCAAAUGCUUUUCCCUUGUUGAACAGACAUAUCUCUUCCAAUUCCUCCAGUUUCUUGAUCAACAGCUACUCGAAUUCAAUGCAAGUUCAGAUCAUAGAAAGUAUGUUACUCGGCCUGGCUUAUACGUAAUAUAUAAAGAUAUGCAUGAAGAUCGAAACAAGUUUGAUCUACCUGUUCAUUUCGGAUUCUAAUUGCUUCUGUUUGCAAAGUUGUUCCAGCUCGAAGUGAAUUCAGAAUUGAUUCAUUAACCUGUGAGAUACCUUUCCGGACUAUCAUCGACUCGAGUUGUUCAAUAAUCCUGCUGUAAACAUUAAUUGUCCAUUCUUCAUUACCGGCAUCUUCCGUUUCUACUGCCAUUAGUAGCUCAGAGACAGCUUCAGGGUUCUCAGACCAAGUACAUCCAUCUUCACAACAUAAAAGAAAGGUACCAAAAGGCUUAUAAUCAUCAGAUUUUGAAUCUAAAUCCAUGGAGUUAAGAUCACGGGGAGCAAUGAAAAGUCUUGGAAUGGAAUCUUUGCUUGUUGCAGCAACAUGGAGGAAACAAGAAUUCCAUGCAGGAUGUUGUGAAAUGGCUUGUUGAAACCCUUUAUCACCGACGAGCGGUGAGCCGAACGUGAGACAAAGGGGUCGUUUAGCCAACGAUAUAUCGAGGCUUUCGAGCAGCCAUAAGGUGAAGAGUGAAGCAACUGAUCCUCCUAAAGAAUGUCCAGUUACAAUUAAGCUAUUGGAAUUCCUUCCACACUGCAUCAAUUAGAGGUAGUAACUUGGAAAUAAUUAAAGCCUAAGAUAGCUGGCAAAACUUUGAUUUAUGAUCAUGUAGUUCCUCUACAACAGAUUAAUAUUCACAGUCAACCAUACCAUAUCUAUGGUCAGGUUGUCAAAUGCAAGACUUAUAAAAUUGAACUUAUAACCAGUAAAAGCACCAUAAAGAACCUCGUAUUAGGGGUCGGAUUGCAUUUUGGUCCCUCUACUAAAAAAAUGAGCAAAUUAGUCCAUGUACAUUAGAUCAAACAGUAAAUAGUCAUUCUAUUAAAAAUUUCAUCUAUUUUUACUGUUAAAAAUUGGUCCAUCAGCAAUGUCAGUUUUUAACAGUAAAUGGAUGAAGUAUUUAACAAAAAUGACUGGUCAGUUUUUUUAUCUAAGUAUAGGAAUUAAUUUACCCAUGUUUGAGUAAAAGAGAGAGAAUGCAAUCUAACUCUUAAUAAUAGUGUUUCCAUAGUAUUUUUGCAACUUAUAACAUGCUAGCUAGAUUGACUCUUAGAUUUUUCUUGAAGUACAUGGAUGACGGAGAUAUGGCCUUUAAGCGGAAAAUUUAGAAAAAUAUAACCAAUUUAAAAAAGGACUAUAUAGAGCAAGAAUUAAGGAAUUAGAAAGACACUAACCUCAGCUUUCAAUUGCAAGAGCUCAUGAAAGUGAUCAGCAAAGAGAGCAAUUGCAGCUUUAUGAAUAGAGAAAGAGUUGCCAUUGUUGCAGAGGAAUUCAAAGACUGGAAAACUCUCCUUAAAAGCUGUGGAAGAAACCAGUUGUUUUGAAUCUUGAAGAUGAGAUUUGGUACAAAUAGGAGAUGUGGUGAAAACAAGGAUGUUAAUAUUAGCUUGUUGAUAAGCUUUCCAUUUUAUUGAUAACCCCAAAUUUUGGAGCUCAUUUAGAUUGAAUCCACCAUAACAGUCUAAGAUUUUAGCCCAUGAAAGUUUGAGCAACCCAGAGCUGACCACGAAAUUAGCAACCUCUAAUCCACUGCAGAAUCUGUAGUUUCAGAACACAAAAUAAAGUAAAACAAUCCAUCAAAAACACGAGGGAAAAAAAGGAAUGAAAAUUUACUUACAAUUGGUUCAUCUGGCUUGCCAUUGACUUGAUCCUUGGUUUGUAUAAUGGGAAGAGAGAGCUUUAUUUGAGAGAGUAAAUAAAAUAAUCAUAAUUAUAUUAACUAAAGUCUAUGGGUCUUGUCCUUGUGGGGUUCUUCGUGGUCAAAGUUGAGCAGCUUUGGGGAUGUUAAGUCCGGGAAAAUGGCAAUGUCCCCAUCAAUGAAAAUGCUACGAAAUGAGUGUGCAGUAAACGUUUGUUUUUCCAUUCUAAUUUCUUUUGAGGGUCAUAGUUUUGAUCCCAACACUUUUUCAGUUUGAUGUGCUUUAAAUUGAUUAAUUUUUGUAUGUUAUUCGAUUUUUUCUAUUGAAAAUUAACUUAACUAACAAAAAAAAAAAACUAUAAAUUUUGAUUUACCUUUUAUCCAACUUAAUAUUUUAUUUUAUUUUUUAAACGAAUCUUUAAAUUUCACGUUUCACGCGGUCUGCUUUAUGAAUUCAAAGAUUCCAAAUUUUCUAUCCAACCAAAAAUAAAGUGUUACACAUUACUUAAAACAAUAUCAAAUUAUAUUUUGUCAUUUUUUUACUCAAAAAGAUUAAUAAUAAAGUCUUUUUUGUUAAAAAUUUCAUCAAUUUAUACUAUUAAAAGCUUACGUGACUAAUAAAAUAACAAAACAAUAGCACAUGUUAUGCCGCAUAUAUCUCAUACUGACACAUAAAAACUAAUUUUUAACAACAAAAAUAGAUGAAACUUUUAACAUACAAAAACAAAUUUACGAAGAAACAAAAUACAAUCCAACCCAACCUACUGUUAGAUAAAAGUUACGGUAGUCAAUGUCUUGGUCAUGAUAGUUUACACUCUAUGGGCACCAGUCAAUAGAUAAUGUUUCAGACCUAUAUAUUAAUUAAUAAUUUUAAAAUUUAUAUUUACAUGUAUAUAUAUUUAUUAAUAUGUAUGUAAUUGAAAUAUAAUUGCAGCUAUAUGAAAUAUACCCUAUUAAAAAAAACUAAAAUUUAGACUCUCUCUCUCUCUAUAUGAAAAUAAAUUUAAAAAUAUCAAUAAACUCAAAUUGGCAGCCUUGGUAGAUGCAAGUCAUAUGGUUCAAAUUGCCGAAAACAAAGGAAAAAGUCUCAAGGUAAACGGCUUCACUAUCACAAGCAAACUUCAAUUUCAAAAAAAAAAAAAAAGAUUCAAUAUCACUUGGAAAAUCCCAUGAAUCUUAUUUUCUCAAAGCUAACAGCAAGCAUAUUGUGAAAUGGAAGAAACAAAAUUUUCAUCCAUGGCUGAUGAACCAAAGGCCUCGAAAGCCAUAGAAUCUGAGAAACUAAAUGCUUUUACCUUGGUAAUAAAUUUGGCUAGCUAUUUAUAAUGCUAAUGAGUUCUGGUUUCUCGUGAAUCACAUUACUUUUCGGGAAUCUCGACUCCCUGAUCUGAUUUCAAUGUCUUUCGUGUAUAUAUUUGUGAGAGCAAAAAGUAGCAGCACAAACACAACUUGGGCACUCAUGAUUCCGAAAUGGCUAAUGCUAUUACCAAUUUCCAUCCAGCUCCCCGUGUUCUUCACCUGUUAAAAAGCCGAUUACCAAACCAGUAAGGCCCUCAGGAAAUAACUAUAACCACAGGUGAUUUCACAUAAUUUCCUUACUUUCAAGCAAAGCAAGGUUCAAAAAUGGCUAAAACAUCAAUCAAUAGAAUCGGCUGCGCCAAACUUUAUUUCUGAAAAAGUUUAAUACCAGAAAGAAGAAGUGGACUGUCAUCACGUCUGAACAAAGAAUAACGAGGAAGUAGCAUCCUAUUCUUGGAACUUCGAGUAGUUUGGUUAUUGCACUGAAUGCACAUCUGUGUUUCUCAAAGAACAAACAGAACCAUGUUUAUAGUUAACUACUAUAUUCCAGCAUAUAUCGAUACAAACUUGCAUUCUUUACUAGUGACAUUGUUAUAUAAGCUUAACUUAAAAUGGGAAACCGAGACUAAAUAUGUCACCUUAACCGAUGAUAAUCUUUAUAGCAGAUUAAAGACGAUUCACUCAUUCGGUGUUUCAGGGAGUUUUGAAACCACGAUGAAGUUUCUAAAGCUAAGGUGCAAUAGUUAAUGAAACUUCAUAAAAAUGUGAUUGAAUGUAUUAAUAGCCCAUAGAUGCAAAAGUCACAUAGCAUCAUGGCUAAAAACCGAUGGUCAAGCCAGUUUCGUUGAAGAAUCAUUGAUCAUUCUAACAUUUCUUUUAAAUUCGAAAAACUUACAUAACAAGCAGGAAUGGUAUGAAUAACUUGAAGAUGAGGAGUCCUGCCAUCAGAAAGGGCUGCAAUUGGAAGUAAUUCAGUUUGGCUUACAAGAAGAAACAGUAAAAGAUAUAUAGGUAGUUUAACCGUUACUUACACUAAAAACAGUGAUGAACCUGUAGACUGAUGAAAUCUCGAAACUAGCUAUACUUGCGAAAUUUCCCGUCCCAAAGAAGGCCACGUUAAAUAAGACCAUCUACCAAAGACAGUUCGUCAGCACUAUGUAAAUUACAAACUGUAAAAUCCUCUAAACUAAGCAAAUCUAUGUUGCUCCAACUCUUUAUUUUUCUUUAAGUACCCAUGUUUAUGACUUGUGUCUGAUAUAUGGUUACAGGGACAACCUCUAAGACCCUAUAUAAAUAUAUAAAAAAUAAUUAUAAAAAACUUGACCAUACCCAUGUCGGACACAUAUCAUAGUCAACACUCACACCCAAGUAUGAGUAACAUAAACUGCCUAUAGCAAUCUGCUCCUUAAAAGAAAUAACAAUAAAACAGAUAGAGAAAGAUGACUUACAAAGGUUAAAGGUAUUCUCAUAUCAGACAGCUGCAAAUAUCGAGUAUCAUUUUCAAGGAAGGCAUGUUCCCCCAAGUUCUUUCCAGAAGCAGAAGAUUUGUUCACCUUACGCACGUAGAGAAGCGAGUUUUCAAAUAGUAUCCAUGCAAUUAGCACAAGACCAAGCGCACCAUAGAAGACAGCUUCAUAUCUGCACGGGUUUGAAAACAAAGGGCAACAAAUCAUAUCAUGCCUCAAUUGAGCAUUACGAUAACACAAGUUUAAGAUGAGAUCUACCCAAUAGAUAAUAGAAGGAACGGUGGUGCAAAACCAAGAAAUAUAGAAUUGAGCCUGGACAAGAGGCCAUUUUCUGAAAACAAUGGGAGAAUCAUCGAGAAACCUGAAAAAAAAAAAAACAAAUAUUUUAGGGACACAAUUGAUGGAAGAUAAUGUAAGCUUUUACUAAUGCAUGAUUCAAUGUAAUUUGUGUCGUUAUGACCUAGAGUCAGCAGUUUCAACUUGCAAUAUUAUAUAACGAGCAGCCAUUGGCAAGCGCAAGAUCUAUGGAAGAGGAGUGAAGCCCUCAAUAGACGUAUAUGUGGGUGCAUGUUACUCCGACUCUUUAAUGUUGGAGUACUCAUGUAUGUCCAACACCCAUGUUUGAUGCAUAUCUGGACAUGAGGUACAAGGAUACGACCCUCCCAAUACACCCAAAAAAAAAAAAGAAAAACAUGAAAGAAAAAAUUGAACAUACCUGUGUCGGGCACAUACCUAUAUCUGACAUUCACACUUGAGUCCAAGUAACACAUGAAGAUUAUAUAUAUUACAAAAGCCACGGUUUUUCAUUUUGGGAAUUUAACAAAAAUCAAUUGUUUUCAGUACCUACAGCCAUUUAAUCAAAUGCCAAUAUACAUCAUAUGCACAAGUUUGACGUGGAAACAACAUUUGACCAAGAAUGAGGUAGCAUUUUGAUGUAUUUCAAACAGAAAUUAAGAAACAUAAAAUUAGCAUCAGAAUGUGAGGAAGAUGGUCUUAAAAGUCUCCAAUUCAGGUUAAGAAACAUAGUUUCUUUUGUACAUCAUAAAGGUUCAAUGCCUUAAGACAGCUUCACUGAAGAGCCUGAAAAAAUAGCGAAAACAGAAGACUAUAAAAGCAUACCAGCAAUGAACCAGUUCAUCAACUGGUGUAUUGUGUGUAGUUCUUGCUUCACUGUUCUGUGAGAUGUAGAUAAAAACACCAUUACCGAUGAUAAUCCAACCAAAAGAGCCUGAUUUCAAGCAGUAAGAAAGCAGUUACUUUCAAUUGUGUUAACAAUAUACACGAGCUUAUCAUUCCAGCAAAAGGUAGAGAGAUAUGUUGCCUACCUGUAAUUGAAAGAGCAUAGGAAACCUGGGUUGUCUCUUUUCAUGAUUACAAAUGCCAAACCAGAAUCUAUUCACACCAGCUUUUAGGUCAAGCCACUUUCCAGUUAAUCCUAUUACAAUAACCAUCACUCCACUAGCAUUUCUGCACACGUUCAUGAGGCACAAGUAUAACCAAUUAAAACAUUAUAGAUGAUAGAAUUAUGUAAAGGGAACUGAUACUAUAAUUUUCCAUCAGUCUUAAGGAAUUAAACUUUAUCAACAAACAAUAAUUUUAAGAAACCUUAACUUUUGGGAAUGAUAGAGGUUAGAAUGUGUUUGUACUUCUAUUGUCGAACCAGUUCACCUAUCUUUAAAUAAAAGGAAAAAUCACGACAAAGGAGGAACAAGGAAGGCAACUCACACCAACUUAUUAUUAUCAGGAAUUUCAGCAGGCAUUAAAGUAAAUAGAGACAAGAACCAACAAGUGAGACAAACAAAAACUGGAAUUCCAGAUCUCCAUGGAAUUGAUUUGUAAAGAUAUAUAGAAGCUAUGGCUCCGACUAUGAGGAAGCACCAAGUGUAGAGUUUUCUCUCAGUGAAGCUAUGCACCUGUACAAGGUACAAUAAAACACGGUUUAGAACAUUAAAAUAUCACUUAAAUAAUCACAAAAACAACAGAAUGUUGUACCAGCAUACCAGGAGCUCAAGAAUGAUCACUGAGACCACGACAAGGGCCAGAAGUUUAAUGACAUAGUCGGAUUCUCUCCCACGUAAGUAUCUCCAAAGUGCUUUUAUAAACUUAUAUUCAUUUAGUAUUUGCGUCCAGAGAAAUAUCGUCAUGGCAAAGUAUGCAUGGUAAAGUGGAGGGGAGCGCUCCAGAAAUAGCAGAACACUGACUACUGCCAUAAACAGACAGCCACAUAGCUGAGCCUGCCAUAUAGGAUGAUAUAUGUGAGAAUGUAGUAUCUAACUGGAAGAAACAAAUAAUUUGUUCCCUAUCCAGAAAAUGCUCAUUUGAUGAAAAAUAAUACAAAAAUGAGCAAGGAAAGCAAACAAACAUGAUAUAAAUAUAGUAAACUAAGCAUAAUUGAAAAAAUGUUGGUGUCUGCAAAGAAACUAGGAGCUCAACUAAUAGAACCAAGUAGUUCUUGUCAGCUUUGAAAUAUAAGGUAAUUUUUUAAGAAACUAAUUUACCACAAGGCAUUUUGGCUUCAAGCUUCAUAAACUUAUGAAAAACAUUUCCAUUUGUUUUCUCUUUUUUCCCUCUGUCGUUAAAAGUAAGUUUAAAAGAGAUUAAGCUUACAUAGACAUUACUUUUCCUGUAUUAGAUUUCUGGCGAACGGCUUCCUCCUUUCUAAAUAUAUCUCCUGGCAAUAAAGUAUAAGCUUGCAGAACAUGAAGAACAAGAAAGACCAUCCAACUGAUAUAUCCAAGAGUAAUCAUGGCCAUCAGCAUCAGCAAAUCAUAAGUUUGAAAAUAAUGAAGUCCUUUCAGUGCCAAGCUUCUUAGAUUUUCUGAUAGCUGCAUGGCAGCUUUAUAGUCUCUAGCACUUAGCAAUUCCUCAAUUUGAUUCAACAUAGAGGAGUAAGACGCAAGUGGCUUGAAAGGCUUGAAAAACAGUGAAUGUGAUUGCUUUAUUUCUAAGUUUGUCAAGGAAAAGAGUUACAGAAUGCCAAUCCAUAAUCCAGUAACACCUUCCACAUUUUAACACAGAAUCAAACAGAAUAUCCAAUAAUUGAAUAAAAAACAUGUAGAUAAGAAGUAAUAAGAUUUCGGUUGGCCAAAAUCAGGUAAAUGUUUAAAAAAGUUACAAAGGGUAUUUCUGAGUGAAAACAUGAAACACAACAUUCUGGUCAACAAAUCUAAGUUCAAACUUCAUGAGGAACAAAACUUAAAGAUAGACAAUGAUCUUAUUUUGUAAUAUAAAAUCUUUUCAAGGAAUUAUGGAAAACAAAUUAAGUACCAUACUGCAUUGAACUAAAACUAGUUUAUGAAAAGGAUACGUGAUUUGCGCAGAAACUGGUUCAGAAUCUGUUUUGUGUUAGCUAGCACAGCUUCUACUUCUUCUUCCUGAACAUUAAAUAGUGAAUAUUUUUCAUCAGUUUUCUAUGCAUUUAUUGCAAUGAAAACUUGUUUAGCCGCACCGAAAUACCUAAUUAGUUGAUCUCCAUCAGAGUAUAAAAUAGCCCAUCCUAAGUUCAUAACAGAUCUCAAAAUAAGCAUUCUAAUGAAAAAUAUUCAGACUCACCUCUUUCAUGUCAACGUAACCAAGAGGUAAAUUCCCGACUGAAUUGACUGGACAAGGCAAACCAAGAAGAGUUGACUGCCAAAAAAAGUAAGGAGCAUCAGUUCAGUUGGGGGUUAAACAUGUUUCAAAGAAAUACUUUAAACAGGAUUUUUUUUUUUUUUAUCAACAUUAAACAACCAUGAGCGGUGCAAUAUCAGCUUGAUUGACAUCAACUCUUUCGAUGCCAUCGAGGUCCCAUUCUUUAGGUGUUGGCGUGUCAUGCAAAUGUUGAUCAAUAAAACGAAGAACAUGAUCCGAGUGAUCUUUUGCAGUGACUGGCCUGGGAUGUUUUACGCCAGCUCCCCAGACAACUAGAGGAGUAUCAGUGUUUGAAGGAUGCCCAUCCCCAUGACUUCCUAGUAAUCAAAAGCUAAUCAUGUCAGAAUCUGUAAUUAGAAACGAUCAAAGAAAACAAAUAGAACUAGAGGAAGAAAGAUUAAGUAGAAAACUAGUUUUGGUCUUAUAAAAAGUUACAUGUUACAAUGGACAAGGCAUGGCCUAGUGGUAGACACACCUUACUACCUUACUUCCAAGGAGAUCUCGAGCAUAGGGGUCUUAUCAAAAGAUUUUCAGUCAUACAACCUAGAGCAAGAUAACAAAAGUAAAUAAGGUGAAGUAUAUAAAAGAGUUCCCCACCUUUGUCACUCAUUCCAUGAUCAGCUGUGAAGAUAUAUGAUGUACGAUUGUCCUUGUAGUAAUUCUCAAGAAGAUUAUAAACACGUUCGGCAAUAUGAUCAACAACCUUUACAUUGUUGAGAUAAAUAGAUGAAAAGGGACGAUGUGCAUGACCAUUUGAAUCACAACCAAGUAGAUGCAGAAAUACAACAAGAUUAUCUUGUUCAAGUAACCUUUUCAACUUUGGGUCUUCAUUGGACCUAUUCAGCAGGCUCUGAAAUUGAUCAAAAGACCAUUCAUCCAAAAAGGAUGCAUCUGCAUUUACAUCAAUUGAAAUAAGCAUUGAACAAGAGUGAAAAUCAUAAAGAUGAAAUACAAUCAUCAGUAAGCAUCAUAAUACAAGGAUUUCAAGAAAGCCAAAUAUAUAGAACGCUGAUAGAAUUUAGUUGUAAACCUUGAAAGGUGUCAACAUAUAAAGCAUGUUCAUAUCAAUGUAAUCUAAUUGGAAUAGGAAUAAACAAGGUAUGAUUGGAAGCAAAGAAGCAGUAUCCAAAAUUACUAGCAGAGGUAUUUUCAAUUAAUAGUUCAAAAAAGAACAGUUUGAUGAGAACCCUCUUUUUAUUAUUUUUUUUCAUUUUAAGCUUCUUUCUUUUCUUUUAGAACGAUUUCAUAAUUUAUAAGAGAAAUUUGCCUUCCACAAAAUUUUAAGCAGACCAGUAGCGAAGUCUUCAAACUCGUGGGGAUAUGUAGCCCAAGUGCUGUGCGGCAAAGCACCACAAAAUAUUGGAACAAUAUCUGGACUACCAUAAGAAAUUGUAUGCCGGCUCCGAUUAAAAACUGAAUCAAAUUCAACUGGAUUAGCUUUCCAUCCUGCAAUCAAAAUGGAAAAGCUUAACAAAGGGAAAAAUUUGUUGGUCAAUUCCAGCAAGGUGAUGUAAUAAUGCUUAAAACAUUAACCUUUUGUAACUGCACUAGGGUCCUCAUAGAAACCAGCAAUUAUAGCAACAUGUCCAGGCCUUGACUCCGUUGGAGGCCGAGCAUGAGAUACUCCCCAUCGACCUUGAUUCUUAAUCACAUUUCUUAAAAAGGGUGCUCUGAAAUUCCCUUCCAAAUCUGGCUCGAAAAAUUUAUCAGCACGUAAACCAUCCGCUGCAAUGAUAUGGUUUUACCAAAACGUAGCAAUUAGUAAUUACACUAAACAUUAAAAAAUGAGUAAUCAUUUCAGGAAAAUGAAAUGUUUCAAACAUUAAACUGUAGAUGCAUCACAAUAAUCAUGAACAGCCCAUCAUUGAGUUCUCCAUUUUUCAUAUAAAAAACUUGGCCUUUUAGUACAAAGCUAAAAUAACUAACAUACCCAAAAGGUUCUUUGUUUCGAUUUAGCUGAAUUGCCAGAUUUGCAUCGAACUCAACAAGCCAUUUCUCACUAUCAAUCCUAUUCAACAAAAUCAAGGGGGGUUGAACCCUAAAAAGAGAAGAAAGGUGGGUUUACCAACAAGAAGAACAAGGCGUUUAGCAGGAGGAGAGAAGCGAGGGGAGACAAGAUCCAUGCCAUGAACAAUGGGGGUCUUGAAGUAGAUGUCGAAGAUGCUUAACAUGUAAACGGCAUGGAGGAUGACACCAAGAAUAACCAGCCAUGUUUCUCUUCUUUUAACCCAUUGUCGUCGCCUGGGUAUGCUUGAUUUGCCUAGCUUCGAAUCUCCGUUACCCAAGAUCCCAUCUAUAUCCAUCUUUUUCGUUACUUUGGUUUCUCUGUUGUAACCCAAAAUUACUUGGUCUCACCUCUCUAUAAACUCUUGCAAGAAAACCAACAAGAAAACUAUUACAUCUUAAAAGUCAGUUAUUUGGUUUUUUUUUUUUUUAUUAUUGUUUAUUUUUCUUUUCUCAUUUGUACAAGAAAAAUACUAAAAUAGUUUUUUUAUUGGAAAAUUAGUUUUUAAAUACAUCAAAAUAUAUUUUAAAAAAUAUAACUUAUUAUUUUAAUUACAAAACUAAACCAAAUAUCAAUCGAGUCUAGUUUAAUAACGACUCUUCGGCUUAAGGAGUUUACUACUUACAAGGCCUAUAUUUCUUAAAAAAAGACGAGAUGAGAUCCUGUGGCCGAAGUACCAAACCCAAAAAGAACGAGUUGAAUCGGAUUCUCGCUCAAAGCCUAUUCUCGAUGCACUCUUUCUCUUAUAGCGGAAUUCCCCUUCACUUGCCAAACCUUCUUCUUCCUGGUCCUAUCGAACCAGACACUGAAUACCUGGCCUUACCCAAGCCCAAGUCUAGUUUCGAAUCUAGUCUCGGCAUCAAUCCGUGAAAGCCUUCAAGCUCAAUCCCUUCCUUCUAGGCUUCCCCGCUCUUUGGGAUAGCAGAAAUACUAAAGAUCGUGACAACCACAACUAGAUCUAUUCUGUGAACAGUCUCUUUCUCAGCCAAAGUAUCUUUCGAGACCUUUCCAUCAUGACCUUUGGAAGAAACUGGCUCUCCCAUGGGAACUGAUUAGAUAACGCGUUCGCACCGUUCAAUUGAAUCAAAGAAGCCUUCCUUUGGUUCUACCUUUCUCUCUGGUUGAGUACCUUUUUUCUAUGUAAAAAUUUAAAGAAUAGUGCGAUGUAAUAGAUUCAAUGACAAGAAUCAAAUAAAGUUGAUGGGACUCUAAGUAAGACAUCCACGUGAGACUCUCGUAUAUUUUCUCAAGAUGUCAUAUGUUCUAUUAGGUGAGGUAUAAUAAAUAUAGAGUUAACUUUUACUAUUUAAAAAAUAUCAUUUAUUAUUUAAGAGAGUUAACAUUUUUAAAACUUAUAUAAUUUUGCAAAUGAAAUCUUUUAUUUGAAAUUAAAUUACAAUUGAAAAAUUAAUUUCAAGAUAUGUUGAUUUUGUUAUAAUUUAAGUUUAUUUGAUUUUUUUUAAAUAAUAUAAGAAUUAAAUUGAUCUAUUUAAUAAUAGUGAGACUAAUUGGAUAUAGUCCUAAUAAUUAGCGGAUCUCCCGCAAACUUUAAUCCAACUGAAUCUCGAUAUUAAUAAAAUUGUAUCAAUUUAAUUCUUGCUCAUUGGGAAAAAAUUUCAAAUAAGGUUAAAGUUAAAAAGAGUUAAUGUUUAUUAGUGAAGACAAAGUGAAUGGUUUGUGAUUUCCUAUAAUGUUUUAAGGAUGUGUUUGGGCAUUACAUAGUAAUUGAAUAAACGUAUAAUUAUUUGGGUUAUAAUUAUACUCUCUUGUAAUUAUAACAAAUUUUUAGUCUUUAAACGUGUUUGACUAAUAAAAUAUAAUUACAUCGUAAUUUUUUAUCUCAUGUUUAAUAAUAUAAAUUAUAAUUAUACGAUCCCAUGCAGGAGCCAAUUAACUCUCAAUCUUUGGUGCCAAGAGAUUUUUUUGAGUUUUUCAAUCUCCCCUUUUUCCUUGCCAACACCUUGGAAUUUCAGAGCUUCCAAUUUCUUCAUUAUCCAUCCAUGUCCCAAGUCCUCUCCCAAAUUCUUUCUUCCUUCAUUUAUGAUAUUCUCACGUUCAUUGCUAGAUUGAAAUUGGAAGGUCUUUCUCCGUUUUAAUUCUUAUGAUCCGAGCCUAUAGCACCGUUUGCCAACCCUAUACUACAGUGGAAGAGGAUACUCCACUCAACAUUACAAAGGAUGCCAUCUAAUUUCUCAUUUACAAAUUCGUCCCCUCAGAUACUAAUACCCUCAACCUCACAUUCCACCUAUUGACGCAAACUAAGUUGCCCCUCCUUGCUUUUGAAAUAGGGCAUGAAUCUUGUUAGAAUCUCCAAUGCAAUACCAAGCACUUACCAAGCAUUUCAUCAAAUCCCGAAGGUCAAAUUUUAGUCCUAACCAGAUGAUAACUAUUAAGUUACGUUCUUUUUAAAAUUUGAUGUGUCAAAAUAUACUUUCGCAUAUUGAUCAAACUAAAUUAAAUGUACUAAACCCACAAUUUACACAAAAUACAAGGUCUAAUAGCCCAAUCCCAAACCUCAACUCAUCCUUCAUUCUAAGGACACCCAAAUAAUUUUCAUUUUAAGUCAUCCAAGGCCCUAUUUGUUGAGGGUUCGAUGGAUUAUUUGAUGCUAAGAGCCUAAGAAAUAUCUUCCAAGGAUGAUGUGCCUACUCAGAUUUAUUAUUUAUUUCUCAAUGUUAAAAUAUAAACAUAUAUUAGGCUUACAUUCUGCUUAGGAACAUAAUUUUUCAUUAACGAGAACAAAAGGGAACUUACUAUAUACUACUUAUUUAUCUUCAAUUAUAUGUUAAUUAAAACUAUUUGACAAGUUCAUAGCUUCUAGGAUUACAAACGAAGACACUACAAGAAAUCCAUCCAUUUCCUCUCUUCUUACAGAACUUAUUACUGCAAGCUUUUUUGCUAUUACAAAUAUGAAAAACACAUACUCAAGAAGUGUCGUUUUUUGGGGGCUUUGGUUGGGCUUUUCAAGGACAUUUGUGCUUGUUGCGGUGGGUUCUCAUAUCAGUAUAACAUUUGCCACACAUUUCCCUGUUACCAUAUGUCCCUGGUGGGACACAUUUGCAUCUGUCACAGCAUGUCAUGCAAGCUCUCAAGCAUAGGUUAGUCCUUGAGUGUAAUUUGCACCUUUGUCCACAUAAUGGGAUGCAAUCUGCCAACAAAGUUGUCCAACAUGUUGUCAGAAAGAUAACAGAUAAGUUCCUUGAGUUUUGGUAAAUGAAAAAAUGAUGUUUUCUUUACCCUUUUUUGUCCUAACAGGUGGCAAUGGUGGACUUGGUGGCUUGUAAGGCGGUGCUGGAGUUGUUGGUGGCUUAACUGGAGGUGUAGGAACUGGGGGCUUAUAUGGGGGAGUUGGUGCUUUAGUUGGCGGUGCUGGUGCUGGAGUUGGUGCUUUGGUUGGGGGUGUUGGGGGCUUAUAUGGGGGAGUAGGGGCCUUGACUGGAGGUGCCGGUGCGGGAGUAGGGGGUUUAUAUGGGGGAGUAGGAGCCUUGGUUGGUGGUGCUGGUGCUGGGGGCUUAAAUGGUGGAGUUGGAGCCUUGGUUGGUGGUGCAGGAGCUGGGGGCUUAUAUGGUGGAGUAGGAGCCUUGGUUGGUGGUGCAGGAGCUGGGGGCUUAUAUGGUGGAGUAGGAGCCUUGGUUGGUGGUGCAGGAGCUGGGGGUUUAUAUGGGGGAGUAGGAGCCUUGGUUGGUGGUUUAUAUGGUGGAGUGGGGGCCUUGGUAGGGGGUUUGUAUGGAGUGGGGCCCUUAGUUGGGGGUGCUGGAGUUGGAGCCUUGUACGGCGGCACCGGAGUGGUGGGAGGCUUAACGGGUGGAGCAGGGAUAGGUGCCUUCACUGGAACAGGAGCAGCAUACUUAAUCUGAACAGUGAUAUGCAACAAAUUUAGCAAAGUUCCAUUUACAGACUAUGGUCUUAUGCACCACAAUGGCUAAUAGCAUUCAGUAUGAAAAAAUACAAGAAAUACAUUAUCCAAAAAGAAAAAACAUGAAUCAGAUUGUUUCAAAAGAACCAAGUUUAAGAUUGUUACAACCUAGACAAGACAAAACAGUAAAAUAAAUGAUUGAAAAAUCACCUCA
rnacentral:lncRNA from 1 species